rnacentral:lncRNA from 1 species
UCAUGAAGGUGUUGCGUGUUUUUAAAAAUUUUUUAUUUGAUCACUUGACUACUUUUGGUAGUAAUGCAGGAGCCUCCAUCCUCGUGUGCAGACCUGACUCAUGAAGUGGUUUGGCACCUCCAUAGUCCCAGAGCUGAAGCUGCUGUCUGCUCCUCUUUGGCUGGACUGAGACCUUGAUUCUACCAGAGGACAUCACUUUCUUCCAGACCACUCACUAAACGAUUAGCUCAGAUCUUUGAGUUGGAUGUGUUAUCCUUUACAUGGAGUUCUUCGGUAUUUACCUGAAUAAGCCUCAUGUCAUCAACUUUUCUUUCCUCAUUUGCACUUGGCCUUUGGAAAUGUGGAGAAUAUUGGUUCAGUUUCUUAUGCCAUUUAAAGAGCCGUAUUCAACCAGACACGGAUGCACUUCUCACACCAUGAACAGCUGA